UGGGGAAUAUUGCGCAAUGGGGGCAACCCUGACGCAGCAACGCCGCGUGAUUGAUGAAGGUCUUCGGAUUGUAAAAAUCUUUAAUCAGGGACGAAACAAAUGACGGUACCUGAAGAAUAAGCUCCGGCUAACUACGUGCCAGCAGCCGCGGUAAUACGUAGGGAGCAAGCGUUAUCCGGAUUUACUGGGUGUAAAGGGCGUGUAGGCGGGUCUGUAAGUUGGGAGUGAAAUCCAGGGGCUUAACCCCUGAACUGCUUUCAAAACUGCGGAUCUUGAGUGAUGGAGAGGCAGACGGAAUUCCCAGUGUAGCGGUGAAAUGCGUAGAUAUUC
rnacentral:rRNA from 1 species